rnacentral:rRNA from 1 species
AUUGAACGCUGGCGGCAGGCCUAACACAUGCAAGUCGAGCGGAUGAGUGGAGCUUGCUCCAUGAUUCAGCGGCGGACGGGUGAGUAAUGCCUAGGAAUCUGCCUGGUAGUGGGGGACAACGUUUCGAAAGGAACGCUAAUACCGCAUACGUCCUACGGGAGAAAGCAGGGGACCUUCGGGCCUUGCGCUAUCAGAUGAGCCUAGGUCGGAUUAGCUAGUUGGUGAGGUAAAGGCUCACCAAGGCGACGAUCCGUAACUGGUCUGAGAGGAUGAUCAGUCACACUGGAACUGAGACACGGUCCAGACUCCUACGGGAGGCAGCAGUGGGGAAUAUUGGACAGUGGGCGAAAGCCUGAUCCAGCCAUGCCGCGUGUGUGAAGAAGGUCUUCGGAUCGUAAAGCACUUUAAGUUGGGAGGAAGGGCAGUAAGUUAAUACCUUGCUGUUUUGACGUUACCGACAGAAUAAGCACCGGCUAACUUCGUGCCAGCAGCCGCCGUAACAC